UACGUAGGGUGCAAGCGUUAUCCGGAAUUAUUGGGCGUAAAGAGCUCGUAGGCGGUUUGUCGCGUCUGCUGUGAAAACUGGAGGCUCAACCUCCAGCCUGCAGUGGGUACGGGCAGACUAGAGUGCGGUAGGGGAGAUUGGAAUUCCGUGGUGGUAAGCGGUGGAAUGCGCAGAUAUCAGGAGGAACACCGAUGGCGGAAGG
rnacentral:rRNA from 1 species